rnacentral:lncRNA from 1 species
UACACAUCCACUAUCAAACCGUUAAAAAAAUUAUAAAAUAUAAUAAAUUAUUACAUUUAACCUAUUUUGGUAACUUAUUGACCUAUUUUAGUCACUUUAUUCAAUUUGGGCUCUUAAGCCCAAAUCCAUCAUCUUGUCUGAUUGAGCUUCUGGCCCAAUUUCACUUGUCCUAAUCUAGAUAUUGGGCUUUGGCCCAUAACCUGUCUUAAACUAUUUUUUCGGACCUUUCGACCCAUAUUCGGCUUCACCUGUAUUAAAUUUACAACUUUGGCUUCGAGGCCUAAAAUGAAUGAAUAAAUAGAUAAAUGGAUAAAUAAAUAAGUAAAAAAAUAAAUAAAGAAAUAAUAAAAUUUUUCAUCAAAUGGAAUUUGAUUCAUCUUUCUUCGUCUUCCAUCGUCUUGUAUUCAUAUGUCGUGUAUCCGCCCUUUGGAUUCAAAUUUAACCUUCAGGAAGAAUGGGCCUUAUUGGCCCAUUACAGGAAUGCAUAAGGAAAGAAAUCCGUUUGAAUCCCAAACGGAUUAUCACAUGUAAAGAAAAAAAAAUAUAGGAUUAGCAAUAACCAAAUAUUAGCCCAAAAUUUGCAAGUAUAUUAUGGAAUACAAUUUCACGCAGUAAAAUCAAGGAUACAACUACAGUUCGCAUAAGGUGAGAUUGUUUGAGAGUGCCGUCCUUUUCCACAAUUUUAUGGUAGUGCCAAGAUUUGUAUACUAAACUCCUUGCAGUAUAUUGAUUUGUUAGUGCAUUAUCAACCAAAAGUUCUCCACAUUUGUGUUUAAUGGAUGAGUUUGGAUUAUGGUUCACACAUUCUGUGAAAUUAUACAACUGCUACUAUAAACUACAACAACAUAAUGCAAUAGUAAUCACAAAGCUUCAAUUUUGAUGAAAAUAAUUCUUGUCCGAGCAAAAGUUUUGACACUAAAGAAUGACAUGAAUGAAAACAAUAUAUAUAUAUGUUGAAUUCUAUUAUGCUGACAAAAAUAGUGAAGAAGUUGAGGGUUAGAAAAUUAAAUAUCCGUCAAUCUAGACAUGCAACCGAAUCAAGUUAGAUGAGCAUCAAUCAUAAUUUUCACAAUAAGUAAACCAGUUUCUUCUCUAGUUUAACUUGCAUUUCAAUAUUUAUAAAAAUAUUUCUUUAAUAGAGUUCUAUUUAGGAGUAUUUUUUAUCCUAUUUUAAGAGUAUUUUUCUAAUUGAUCAUUACAAAGAAAAAUAUUAAUUAAUUCUUCUUCAAUAUAUUUUAGAAGUCCGAUAUAUUUUAUGAGACUAAUUAAUAUAAUAAAAAUAAUUAAAUAAUAAAUUAAAGAAAAUAGUAAAUAGACAGCUUUGUCUAAAAAAGAUCUUUUAAUGAAGGAUAAAACGUUUAAAUUACUUUUCUAAGAGCCUUCACACUUUUAGAGUGUAUGGUAUGAUGGAAAAUAUUUUUCAUGAAAAAUAAGUUGUUGUUUCACUUAUUUUCUUACGUUUGAUUGAUGAGUGAAAAAUAUUUUUCAAAAAAUAUUUUAUAGUGUUUGAUUGGAGAACAGAAAAUAUAUGUUUUUCUACCUAAAUUUUAACUUUACAUGAGAGUGUGCCCCUCUAAUUAAAAGUAUAAUAUAUUUUCUAAAAUAUAAUAUUUAACUACACAUUUUUAAUCAUUAGGUCAAUUUGUAUGAGAUGUGACAUCAACAAUUAUACAUUCAUCUGACCAAAUUUAAAAAAUAAUGUCAUUUUUUAUUACGUAUUAAUAAAAUAAAUUUAUAAUUGCUAUUUUUUAUUUUUUUAUUUAUUAAAAAGUAACUUCUUAAUAGGAUUUUAUGAAAGGAAAAGUAAAAAAGAAUGAGCUAGGUGGUACUUGACAAAACGAAGCAAUAACUUUUUUUAAAAAAUUUUUUUGGUAAGAAACAUAAUAAAAAGUUCUAACUUAUAAAAGUUAAAAAAGUUAUAAAAUUUCAAUUUAUAAUUUUUUUUUAAAAACUCAAUAUACUAUCACAUCACUUAUUUAUGUCAAAUUAUGUAAACUUAAUAAAUUAUUACGUUUUACAAAAAAAAUUUUGUAAACCAUAAUAAAUUACUACGUUUUAUAAAAAGUUUUUGUAAAACGUAAUAAAUUAUUAUUACAUUUUACUAAAACUUUUUUACUGUACACAUCCACUAUCAAACCGUUAAAAAAAUUAUAAAAUAUAAUAAAUUAUUACAUUUAACCUAUUUUGGUAACUUAUUGACCUAUUUUAGUCACUUUAUUCAAUUUGGGCUCUUAAGCCCAAAUCCAUCAUCUUGUCUGAUUGAGCUUCUGGCCCAAUUUCACUUGUCCUAAUCUAGAUAUUGGGCUUUGGCCCAUAACCUGUCUUAAACUAUUUUUUCGGACCUUUCGACCCAUAUUCGGCUUCACCUGUAUUAAAUUUACAACUUUGGCUUCGAGGCCUAAAAUGAAUGAAUAAAUAGAUAAAUGGAUAAAUAAAUAAGUAAAAAAAUAAAUAAAGAAAUAAUAAAAUUUUUCAUCAAAUGGAAUUUGAUUCAUCUUUCUUCGUCUUCCAUCGUCUUGUAUUCAUAUGUCGUGUAUCCGCCCUUUGGAUUCAAAUUUAACCUUCAGGAAGAAUGGGCCUUAUUGGCCCAUUACAGGAAUGCAUAAGGAAAGAAAUCCGUUUGAAUCCCAAACGGAUUAUCACAUGUAAAGAAAAAAAAAUAUAGGAUUAGCAAUAACCAAAUAUUAGCCCAAAAUUUGCAAGUAUAUUAUGGAAUACAAUUUCACGCAGUAAAAUCAAGGAUACAACUACAGUUCGCAUAAGGUGAGAUUGUUUGAGAGUGCCGUCCUUUUCCACAAUUUUAUGGUAGUGCCAAGAUUUGUAUACUAAACUCCUUGCAGUAUAUUGAUUUGUUAGUGCAUUAUCAACCAAAAGUUCUCCACAUUUGUGUUUAAUGGAUGAGUUUGGAUUAUGGUUCACACAUUCUGUGAAAUUAUACAACUGCUACUGUAGGUGAGUCUAUCUUUAGUCAAGAGACUCAACACGUAGGAAGACAUAGUCUGAUCACUCAUAGCAGAGAAUAUUGACAGGUAAGGUUCAUCUUUUGAUCUUCAAAUUUUGAAGAUAAAGGUUUAAAUAUGAUGUAACCACAAGAAAAAUAUGAAUCACGUGCCUAUUACUAUGAGGGACUUAAAGAUCGACUUCCUGGAAAAAGUUGCAAAACCAAACAGCAAAAUCAAGAAACAUUGUUCUUGACUUUUGUAAAUGGAUGUGCGUGUGUGCGCGGUUCAACCAUGGUAAUACUACUACCAUCUCACAAUAACAGUCUGAGCUACUACUGGGAUUAACCCAUCCGCCUCCAUGAGAAAGAGAACAAAUAUUGUUUUAUUAAACACGAAUUUGACAAUUAAUUCUUUGCGCAAUGUAGUUUAUAGAUAACAAGAUGGUCUAUCAACACUAUUACAUAAUCUACAUCAAGCAUGUGUGAAAGAGAGUCAAUAUUGAACACGUCGAAUAAUAAUGAUGAAAUACUAUACGUUUUUGGUGAGAGGGUCCAUCGUGUAUUCUUGGAUUUAAUAUAUAACAAACCGUUAGACUUGUUUUAUAAGCAAAAAUGAUGUCACAAAUAAUUUACGUCGAACCACAAGUUUGGUUGGUUGUUUAGUUAGUUAGCAAAGGUGAUGAAAAUAAUUUAAUCCAAGAUUUUACAAUUUUCUUUCAACCCUAAGACUCAAGACAAACACGAAUCAUUAGCAAUACUUAUUCCAAUCGCAAUUACAACCCUUAUCAAGCAUCUUUGGAAACUCUAAAAAAAUGAACCAGUAAAAAACCUUAAGCAUGCAGGCGUUAAUACUUGAACUAAUUCAUGGAAGUGAAUAAGAAGUUCGAAAUCAACCAAAACAAAGAUGAGCAAAUCAAAAAAUAUUUUUUCAUAGUAGUUAUCAGAGGAGGAGUAAGGAGUGUAGACCUAGAAUUAAGUGGGGCGGCUUGACGCCAGUGAAUGCGUGGGAGAUAGGGGAGAAGUUGGCGGGAAUGGGGGUGUGGGAGUGUAGGGGGGACGUGGAUAGUAUGUGGGAUAGGGCGGCUAGGUGCAUCAGGGAGAAUGCAAGUGAGGUGUUGGGUGUUUCUAGGGGCCGGGCCGGUCACCAUCGGGGGGAGUGGUGAUGGAAUGAAGAGGUGGAGAAGAAAGUGGGGACCAAGAAAGGGGCGUAUGCUAAAUUGGUUGAGAGUAAGGACGAAGAAGAGAAGCGGGUAAACAGGAAAGAGUACAAGCUAGCUAGGAAGGAGGCUAAGUCAGCAGUCACGGCAGCUAAGACGGCCGCUUUUGAGAGCUUGUAUGCAGGGUUCAGGGGAAAGGAGGGGAGAAAAAGUUGUUUAGACUCGCUAAGGCUAGGGAGAGGAAGGGUCGUGACCUCGAUCAGGUGAGGUGCAUUAAGGGGGAGGACGGUAGAGUGUUGGUGGAGGACGGCCACAUAAAGAAGAGAUGACAGUCGUACUUUCAUAGGCUCUUGAAUGACGAGGGGGACAGAGCUAUUGUGUUAGGGGAACUGGAGCACUCAGGGGAGUGUCGGGAUUUUAGCUAUUGUAGACGUUUUAAGGUAGACGAGGUUAGACAGGCAGUCCGCAGGAUGCGAAGGGGUAGGGCGACGGGGCCGGAUGAGAUACCGGUGGAGUUUUGGAAGUUCGUUGGAGAGGCUGGUGUAAGGUGGUUGACUGCAUUGUUCAAUGAAAUUUUCAGGACAGCAAAGAUGC